rnacentral:rRNA from 1 species
UACGUAGGGAGCAAGCGUUGUCCGGAAUCAUUGGGCGUAAAGCGCGCGUAGGCGGCCCGGUCAGUCCGUCGUGAAAGUCAAAGGCUCAACCUUUGAAUGUCGAUGGACACUGCCGGGCUAGAGUCCGGAAGAGGCGAGUGGAAUUCCUGGUGUAGCGGUGGAAUGCGCAGAUAUCAGGAGGAACACCAAUAGCGAAGGCAGCUCGCUGGGACGGUACUGACGCUAAGGCGCGAAAGCGUGGGGAGCGAAUAGG